rnacentral:rRNA from 1 species
UACGUAGGGUGCAAGCGUUGUCCGGAAUUAUUGGGCGUAAAGAGCUCGUAGGUGGCCUGUCGCGUCGGCUGUGAAAACCCGGGGCUCAACCCCGGGCCUGCAGUCGAUACGGGCAGACUAGAGUGUGGUAGGGGAGACUGGAAUUCCUGGUGUAGCGGUGGAAUGCGCAGAUAUCAGGAGGAACACCGGUGGCGAAGGCGGGUCUCUGGGCCAUAACUGACGCUGAGGAGCGAAAGCGUGGGGGAGCGAACAGG